CUUAUGGUAGUUUAUGAAAACAAUACUUUUUCAGAGUGUAGAUCCUCGAAGGUCAUCUUGUAGUAGAUUAUAAGU
rnacentral:tRNA from 1 species